UACGGAGGGCUCAAGCGUUGUUCGGAUUUAUUGGGCGUAAAGGGUGCGUAGGCGGUGAUGUAAGUCGGAUGUGAAAUCUCCGGGCUCAACCCGGAAAUGGCAUUGGAAACUACCUUGCUAGAGGAUUUGAGGGGGGAUUGGAAUACUUGGUGUAGCAGUGAAAUGCGUAGAUAUCAAGUGGAACACCAGUGGCGAAGGUGAAUCCCUGGAAAAUACCUGACACUGAGGCACGAAAGCUAGGGGAGCAAACAGG
rnacentral:rRNA from 1 species